rnacentral:rRNA from 1 species
UACGUAGGGUGCGAGCGUUGUCCGGAUUUAUUGGGCGUAAAGCGCUCGCAGGUGGUUCGAUGCGUCGUGCGUGAAAGACCCCGGCUCAACUGGGGGGGUGUCGUGCGAUACGGUCGGACUGGAGGCCAGUAGGGGGGAUGCGGAAUUCCUGGUGUAGCGGUGAAAUGCGCAGAUAUCAGGAGGAACACCGAUGGCGAAGGCAGCUCGCUGGGACGGUACUGACGCUGAGACGCGAAAGCGUGGGGAGCAAACAGG